GGUCGCGUAGCUCAGUUGGUAGAGCAACUGACUUUUAAUCAGUGGGUCGAAGGUUCGAAUCCUUCCGCGAUCACCA
rnacentral:tRNA from 3 species